AAAAUCGACUCAGGUGUUCAUAGAAAUUUAAUUAGAAGAGCAGAAGUACGUGUUCGGCAGAAUGGGCAACAUUUUCAGCAAUUUUUGUAAUAAUAAACUUUAUGAUUACUUCGUAUUAUUUCAUUAUGUAUUCCUAAUUUU